UUGGGAAGCAACGGCUUUAAAAAUACCUAAAUUAGACUGCAUGUUUACUAAAACUGUGGUGCUGUUAAGCCUUUGUUUUUUCCCAAUUCUAAUCCCACUGCUGCUGGUUAUUUCUACUGUUGCUCAUACACACUUGUCAUAUUGGAGAAAAUGUACCCCUGCAUGGAUUUGCAAAAAAGAUUAUGUUGUCCCUCAGUCUUACUGGCCUUACUGGACUGUUUUUUUCAACAGGGUUGACUUUACCACAAUUACUUACCAGGGUACUGAUCCAAAGAAGCAAGUCGUUUUGCAGAGAUCUGUUAAUUUUCUCCCAUUUGAGGGUGUUCUUCCCUGACCGUGCUGGUGACAGAGCAAUACAAUACCCAGUGCUCUUAGCACAGGUACGUGGCAUGUUGAGGGUUUGUCUGAGCUCUCAGUGCAUUUCCAGUUUUUAAUUAAUGCCUCUUGUAGCCUCACUUUGCUUUUGUGUAGCUCAGUCCUGA